ensembl:lncRNA
UUCAGUUCACAUAGGUUUUGCAGUGUUUGACUUUUGAGUCCGCCGUUGUCAUCUGUUAUCUUUGUUAAUUCAUUCUAGUACAAACUGUGUCGUGGAGCUCCACAUUGGGAACAAGAGAACUGAAUGAAGGGGACCAUAUGGAAAGAUAAAGAGAGAGAGGCAGUAUUGAGACAGAAUUCUGAGCGUUUGAUGGAUUGUCCGUAUCACUAAUCUGACGGAGGAGGACCAGCCGUUAUGACAUCACUGAACACACUCGAUGACAUCAUCAUCACGUGGAAUGGAAGUCCAGUUGCCACAGAGACCUUGUUGUCAUGGAGAUGCACAUAUAUUGCCUUCGAAGGCACAUAAGCGUCUCGUACUGGUCUGUUGGUCAUGCAUGAAUCUUACAGGGAUGUGGAAUGGAGAAGUGUUGACUCUUUUGGCCUCGUCUGACCUCACAAAGCAGGCGAAAAGCUAGAACUCAUCCUCACACAUAACUGUAUCACUGAAAACCAUCUUGUGACUCCAAUGCUUCUCUCAGAUCACUUUAGGGCUGGACGUUUGGCCAGAAAUAUCACAACAAUCCAUAUCAUGUGAUAUCGAUACCAUUUAUCGCAAUAUUCUUUUACCAUUAAUGGGGAAAGAAAUAGAUGUUACUAUGUUUGUUAAACCUUGAGAAUAAAUGUAAACAUAACUUUGUUCA